rnacentral:tRNA from 1 species
GCAUUGGUGGUUCAGUGGUUGAAUUUUUGCCUUUAAUGUGGGAGAACCUGGUUUGAUUCCUGGCCAACUCA